UACGAGGGGUGCAAGCGUUGCUCGGAAUCAUUGGGCGUAAAGGGCAGGUAGGUGGUCUCAUUUGUCUGGGGUGAAAGCCCGGGGCUUAACCCCGGAAGUGCCCCAGAAACGGUGAGACUAGAGUGCUGGAGAGGGUCGUGGAAUUCCCGGUGUAGCGGUGAAAUGCGUAGAGAUCGGGAGGAACACCAGAGGCGAAGGCGGCGACCUGGACAGUGACUGACACUCAACUGCGAAAGCGUGGGGAGCAAAC
rnacentral:rRNA from 1 species